rnacentral:rRNA from 1 species
CAAGUCGCGGGAAUCACAGCAAUGUGGGAACCGGCGUAAGGGGCAGUAAUGCGUGGGUACCUACCUUGGGAUCCGGGAUAGCCGUCCGAGAGGGCGGGUAAUACCGGAUGAUCUCGAGAGAGCAAAGCUCCGGCGUCCCGAGAGGGGCCCACGUGAUAUUAGCUGGUUGGUGAGGUGACGGCUCACCAAGGCGGAGAUGUCUAGCGGGUGUGAGAGCACGACCCGCGCCACUCGCACUGAGACACUGGCGAGACACCUACGGGUGGCUGCAGUCGAGGAUCUUCGGCAAUGCGCGCAAGCGCGACCGAGCGACGCCGCGUGGGCGAUGAAGGCCUUCGGGUUGUAAAGCCCUGUCGAGGGGGAGAAAAGCUCGAAAGAGUGUGAUCUAUCCCUGGAGGAAGCUCGGGCUAAGUUCGUGCCAGCAGCCGCGGUAAGACGAACCGAGCGAACGUUGUUCGGAAUCACUGGGCUUAAAGGGUGCGUAGGCGGGCUGCCAAGUUUGAGGUGAAAUCCUCCGGCUCAACCGGGGAAGUGCCUUGAAUACUGGCGGUCUGGAGGGAGGUAGGGGCGUGCGGAACUAACGGUGGAGCGGUGAAAUGCGUUGAUAUCGUUAGGAACUCCGGUGGCGAAGGCGGCACGCUAGACCUCUUCUGACGCUGAGGCACGAAAGCCAGGGGAGCGAACGGGAUUAGAUACCCCGGUAGUCCUGGCCCUAAACGUUGAGAACUAGGUAGCAGGCCGGACAUGGGUUUUGCUGCCGGAGCAAAAGUGCUAAAUUUCUCCGCCUGGGGAGUAUGGUCGCAAGGCUGAAACUCAAAGGAAUUGACGGGGGCUCACACAAGCGGUGGAAGCAUGUGGCUUAAUUCGAGGCUACGCGAAAAAC